rnacentral:rRNA from 1 species
GUGGGGAAUCUUCCGCAAUGGACGAAAGUCUGACGGAGCAACGCCGCGUGAACGAUGACGGCCUUCGGGUUGUAAAGUUCUGUUAUACGGGACGAAUGGUACGACGGCCAAUACCCGUCGUAAGUGACGGUACCGUAAGAGAAAGCCACGGCUAACUACGUUCCAGCAGCCGCGGGAAUACGUAGGUGGCAAGCGUUGUCCGGAAUUAUUGGGCGUAAAGGGCGCGCAGGCGGCGUCGUAAGUCGGUCUUAAAAGUGCGGGGCUUAACCCCGUGAGGGGACCGAAACUGCGAUGCUAGAGUAUCGGAGAGGAAAGCGGAAUUCCUAGUGUAGCGGUGAAAUGCGUAGAUAUUAGGAGGAACACCAGUGGCGAAGGCGACUUUCUGGACGAAAACUGACGCUGAGGCGCGAAAGCCAGGGGAGCGAACGGGAUUAGAAACCCGGGUAGUCC